rnacentral:piRNA from 1 species
UUAAGCAAAGUAAAAACCUGAAU